rnacentral:rRNA from 1 species
CCUACGGGAGGCAGCAGUGGGGAAUAUUGGACAAUGGGCGAAAGCCUGAUCCAGCAAUGCCGCGUGAGUGAUGAAGGCCUUAGGGUCGUAAAGCUCUUUUACCCGGGAUGAUAAUGACAGUACCGGGAGAAUAAGCCCCGGCUAACUCCGUGCCAGCAGCCGCGGUAAUACGGAGGGGGCUAGCGUUGUUCGGAAUUACUGGGCGUAAAGCGUGCGUAGGCGGUUAUUCAAGUCAGAGGUGAAAGCCCGGGGCUCAACCCCGGAACGGCCUUUGAAACUAGGUAGCUAGAAUCUUGGAGAGGUCAGUGGAAUUCCGAGUGUAGAGGUGAAAUUCGUAGAUAUUCGGAAGAACACCAGUGGCGAAGGCGACUGACUGGACAAGUAUUGACGCUGAGGCACGAAAGCGUGGGGAGCAAACAGGAUUAGAUACCCUGGUAGUCCACGCCGUAAACGAUGAUAACUAGCUGUUCGGGUACUUGGUAUNUGUAGUGCGCGAGCUACGACACUUAAGUUAAGUUACCGUCCGUCGGGUAGGUACGGGUACGGUCGAACGAAGUUAAAACGUUAACGUAAAGGAAAGUUAGUACGGACGUGAGACGUAAGUCCGAACGGACGACGACGAGGGAGGUAGG